AGGUCACAUUUACAGGGUACCAUGUGUUAGGAUUUUCUUUUGGGGGACACAAUUCUACCCACUGCAGGCCCAUAUCUUAUCUAGGAUGUUGGUGGCAAGAAGGCGAAGAUUACUACCUCUUUUGAUAUAACUAGUUUCUGAGCAUGGUACAGUUGACAAUGCAGCCUUAGGUGAUGGUUGAGCCACAAGAUGGAAGGAUCCUGGGCCUCUAAAUCACCAAAUUCUGGCCAUCAGCUUUUGUGGCACAGACGACUGUGCAAUUAAUGGAAAAUUAAAAACUAAAUAUCCAUUUCUUCUAGGACACGAAGCAGCUGGAAUUGUAGAGAGUAUUGGAAAAGGAGUGAGAAAGGAUGAGAAUAUUUAGAAGAGUCCUUCUCGCUCUGGGAAUACCAAAGGAUCACUUGGGGACUUUUUGCAGCAGAUUCUCCAGAUAUUUAGGUGAGAAAAUUGAGGCUUAUAAAGAAGUUGUGGAUGGACCACUUAGUUUGGAAGGUGGCAGAGUCAUGACCAGAACCAACUUGUGUUUGAAACCAAAGCUUCUGUUCCUCCAGAGCACAUAUUUCUGUUAUCUGUGGAGGCAAGCUUCAUGAAAUAAUCUGACUCAUAAUAUCUAUAGGUUAUUGAAACAAAAUCCAAUGCAGUUUGGAAGAAAUAAUAGUAGAAAAUGUAACAAUCAUUGUGUCAUUUCUGGCUUUAGUAGGAAAUAAAUAGGUGGUGUCAUCAAGAGUCUGUUCCCUGGAAGCAGCUCAUCUUCCUCGGCGGCUGUCCUUUACCCCAAGGCUGUCCUCACCUCCUGUGCUCCUCGGCCAUGCCAAGAGUCUCCAGGCCUCUGCUCCUUUAUUUUUCCAGCUCUGGGGGGAAAUUACCUUUUGUGAAAAGUAAUACAUAGAAACAAAUAAGAAACAGUAAAAUCAUUUAAUAUAUUGA